GGGUUGUGAGGUUAAGCGACUAAGCGUACACGGUGGAUGCCCUGGCAGUCAGAGGCGAUGAAGGACGUGCUAAUCUGCGAAAAGCGUCGGUAAGGUGAUAUGAACCGUUAUAGCCGGCGAUGUCCGAAUGGGGAAACCCAGUGCAAUUCGUUGCACUAUCGUUUGAUGAAUACAUAGUCAAACGAGGCGAACCGGGGGAACUGAAACAUCUAAGUACCCCGAGGAAAAGAAAUCAACCGAGAUUCCCCCAGUAGCGGCGAGCGAACGGGGAGCAGCCCGGAGUCUGAAUCAGCUUGUGUGUUAGUGGAAGCGUCUGGAAAGUCGCAGGGUACAGGGUGAUACUCCCGUACACUAAAGCACACAGGUUGUGAACUCGAAGAGUAGGGCGGGACACGUGGUAUCCUGUCUGAAUAUGGGGGGACCAUCCUCCAAGGCUAAAUACUCCUGACUGACCGAUAGUGAACCAGUACCGUGAGGGAAAGGCGAAAAGAACCCCGGCGAGGGGAGUGAAAAAGAACCUGAAACCGUGUACGUACAAGCAGUAGGAGCCUCUUUAUGGGGUGACUGCGUACCUUUUGUAUAAUGGGUCAGCGACUUAUAUUCUGUAGCAAGGUUAACCGUAUAGGGGAGCCGCAGGGAAACCGAGUCUUAACUGGGCGUUAAGUUGCAGGGUAUAGACCCGAAACCCGGUGAUCUAGCCAUGGGCAGGUUGAAGGUUGGGUAACACUAACUGGAGGACCGAACCGACUAAUGUUGAAAAAUUAGCGGAUGACUUGUGGCUGGGGGUGAAAGGCCAAUCAAACCGGGAGAUAGCUGGUUCUCCCCGAAAGCUAUUUAGGUAGCGCCUCGUGAACUCAUCUUCGGGGGUAGAGCACUGUUUCGGCUAGGGGGUCAUCCCGACUUACCAACCCGAUGCAAACUACGAAUACCGAAGAAUGUUAUCACGGGAGACACACGGCGGGUGCUAACGUCCGUCGUGAAGAGGGAAACAACCCAGACCGCCAGCUAAGGUCCCAAAGUCAUGGUUAAGUGGGAAACGAUGUGGGAAGGCCCAGACAGCCAGGAUGUUGGCUUAGAAGCAGCCAUCAUUUAAAGAAAGCGUAAUAGCUCACUGGUCGAGUCGGCCUGCGCGGAAGAUGUAACGGGGCUAAACCAUGCACCGAAGCUGCGGCAGCGACACUAUGUGUUGUUGGGUAGGGGAGCGUUCUGUAAGCCGUUGAAGGUGGCCUGUGAGGGUUGCUGGAGGUAUCAGAAGUGCGAAUGCUGACAUAAGUAACGAUAAUGCGGGUGAAAAACCCGCACGCCGGAAGACCAAGGGUUCCUGUCCAACGUUAAUCGGGGCAGGGUGAGUCGACCCCUAAGGCGAGGCCGAAAGGCGUAGUCGAUGGGAAACAGGUUAAUAUUCCUGUACUCGGUGUUACUGCGAAGGGGGGACGGAGAAGGCUAUGUUGGCCGGGCGACGGUUGUCCCGGUUUAAGCAUGUAGGCGGAUGUUCCAGGUAAAUCCGGAACGUUACUAACGCUGAGGUGUGAUGACGAGGCACUACGGUGCUGAAGUGACAAAUGCCCUGCUUCCAGGAAAAGCCUCUAAGCAUCAGGUAACAUCAAAUCGUACCCCAAACCGACACAGGUGGUCAGGUAGAGAAUACCAAGGCGCUUGAGAGAACUCGGGUGAAGGAACUAGGCAAAAUGGUGCCGUAACUUCGGGAGAAGGCACGCUGAUAUGUAGGUGAAGUGGUUUACCCAUGGAGCUGAAAUCAGUCGAAGAUACCAGCUGGCUGCAACUGUUUAUUAAAAACACAGCACUGUGCAAACACGAAAGUGGACGUAUACGGUGUGACGCCUGCCCGGUGCCGGAAGGUUAAUUGAUGGGGUUAUCCGUAAGGAGAAGCUCUUGAUCGAAGCCCCGGUAAACGGCGGCCGUAACUAUAACGGUCCUAAGGUAGCGAAAUUCCUUGUCGGGUAAGUUCCGACCUGCACGAAUGGCGUAAUGAUGGCCAGGCUGUCUCCACCCGAGACUCAGUGAAAUUGAACUCGCUGUGAAGAUGCAGUGUACCCGCGGCAAGACGGAAAGACCCCGUGAACCUUUACUAUAGCUUGACACUGAACACUGGUCCUUGAUGUGUAGGAUAGGUGGGAGGCUUUGAAGUGUGGACGCCAGUCUGCAUGGAGCCAUCCUUGAAAUACCACCCUUUAAUGGCUGGUGUUCUAACGUGGGCCCGUUAUCCGGGUUGCGGACAGUGUCUGGUGGGUAGUUUGACUGGGGCGGUCUCCUCCUAAAGAGUAACGGAGGAGCACGAAGGUCAGCUAAUCCUGGUCGGACAUCAGGAGGUUAGUGCAAUGGCAUAAGCUGGCUUGACUGCGAGCGUGACGGCGCGAGCAGGUGCGAAAGCAGGUCAUAGUGAUCCGGUGGUUCUGAAUGGAAGGGCCAUCGCUCAACGGAUAAAAGGUACUCCGGGGAUAACAGGCUGAUACCGCCCAAGAGUUCAUAUCGACGGCGGUGUUUGGCACCUCGAUGUCGGCUCAUCACAUCCUGGGGCUGAAGUAGGUCCCAAGGGUAUGGCUGUUCGCCAUUUAAAGUGGUACGCGAGCUGGGUUUAGAACGUCGUGAGACAGUUCGGUCCCUAUCUGCCGUGGGCGCUGGAGAAUUGAGGGGGGCUGCUCCUAGUACGAGAGGACCGGAGUGGACGCAUCACUGGUGUUCGGGUUGUCAUGCCAAUGGCAUUGCCCGGUAGCUAAAUGCGGAAGAGAUAAGUGCUGAAAGCAUCUAAGCACGAAACUUGCCCCGAGAUGAGUUCUCCCUGACUCCUUGAGAGUCCUGAAGGAACGUUGAAGACGACGACGUUGAUAGGCCGGGUGUGUAAGCGCAGCGAUGCGUUGAGCUAACCGGUACUAAUGAACCGUGAGGCUUAACCUUACAACGCCGAAG
rnacentral:rRNA from 1 species